rnacentral:rRNA from 1 species
CCUACGUGAGGCAGCAGUGAGGAAUAUUGGUCAAUGGGCGCGAGCCUGAACCAGCCAAGUAGCGUGAAGGAUGACUGCCCUACGGGUUGUAAACUUCUUUUAUAAAGGAAUAAAGUGAGGCAAGUGUGCCUUUUUGUAUGUACGUUAUGAAUAAUGAUCGGCUAACUCCGUGCCAGCAGCCGCGGUAAUACGGAGGAUCCGAGCGUUAUCCGGAUUUAUUGGGUUUAAAGGGAGCCUAAAUGGGGUGUUAAGUCAGUUGUGAAAGUUUGCGGCUCAACCGUAAAAUUGCAAGUGAUACUGGCAGUCUUGAGUACAGUUGAGGUAGGCGGAAUUCGUGGUGUAGCGGUGAAAUGCUUAGAUAUCACGAAGAACUCCGAUUGCGAAGGCAGCUUACUAAACUGCCACUGACAUUGAUGCUCGAAAGUGUGGGUAUCAAACAGGAUUAGAUACCCCUGUAGUC